rnacentral:lncRNA from 1 species
AUGAAUUUCACAGUACACGCUUUCAAAAGCAGUCUCAGGUGGCCUGAUGAAACGGGAGAGCGCCUCCGCAAACACAUCCACUUUCUUUCUUUUCAAGGAGGGUGUGUGCGCGUAUGGGAAGCCCCCCAAAACGCCGUGCUCCUCGAAAUCAGAAAUGCACUUCUGUUGCGAGCUGGGUCCCCUCGGUCCUCCGCCUCCGCGUACUUAGUUCUCCAGUCGCUCCCCAGCCCCACCCAUCCGCCCCCUCCCUCUGCCGAGUGUGAUUGUUUUGUCUGGAAAAAAAAAAAAAAAUCCAAAGUAUAUAACAAGGGGAGAACAGUUAGUGCUGACUUUCAUUUGCAUACAUUUUCAUAUAUUUUGGUGAAAAUAAUAGACGAGUGGAGAGCCGGGCUUAGAGGAGUCAGAGGAAAGAGAAGACUGAGGAGGUACCGCUUCUGGGGAGUUGAGAAUAUGUCUUUUCCCCCCACCAGUCACCUUAUUUAUUUUUUUUUAAAUAAAACUUCUUCCUUUAUUUUAAAAUCUAAUCCUGGAAGUUUGCUCGUGCUUUUCAAGUUUUAAUCGAAGAACAUCUUUGUGAUCAGAUUAACCAAAUAUUGACCCCCAAAAGGAAGCUAAGACUCAGAGAAGAUCGGUAGAGACCUUUCAAGCCUCUAAUAUGUGAGUUGAAGUGU